AACGCACCUUGCGCUCCUUGGUAUUCCGAGGAGUAUGCCUGUUUGAGUGUCAUGGUAUUCUCAAUCCAUCUGGUUUUGUCAAAGGAAUUCAGUUGGACUUGGAUAUGGAGGUUUUUGCUGGUCCUUAAAGAUCGGCUCCUCUGAAAUGCAUCAGUAUGAAUAGAAUGCUGUCUUCAGUGUGAUAAUUAUCUACGCUGUUAGGCUUUGCUAUUCUUGCUUCAAAUCGUCUGCUUGCUUCAGACAAAUUUCAUUGACAUCUGACCUCAAAUCAGGUAGGACUACCCGCUGAACUUAA
rnacentral:misc_RNA from 1 species